UGGAUGAUGUGGAUUAAUUCGAUGCAACGCGAAAAACUUACCUAUCCUUUGACAUGUCCGGAAUCCCGAAGAGAUUUGGGAGUGCUCGCAAGAGAGCCGGAACACAGGUGCUGCAUGGCUGUCGUCAGCUCGUGUCGUGAGAUGUUGGGUUAAGUCCCGCAACGAGCGCAACCCUUGUCAUUAGUUGCCAUCAUUUGGUUGGGCACUCUAAUGAGACUGCCGGUGACAAACCGGAGGAAGUGGGGAUGACGUCAAGUCCUCAUGGCCCUUAUGGGUAGGGCUUCACACGUCAUACAAUGGUCGGUACAGAGGGUUGCCAAGCCGCGAGGUGGAGCCAAUCCCAGAAAGCCGAUCGUAGUCCGGAUUGUUCUCUGCAACUCGAGAGCAUGAAGUCGGAAUCGCUAGUAAUCGCGGAUCAGCAUGUCGCGGUGAAUACGUUCCCGGGUCUU
rnacentral:rRNA from 1 species